rnacentral:lncRNA from 1 species
AAGAUCAACCCUCCCCCAUGGGCUCCUGCCUGCCUGCCAGGUUUUCCUGUCUCCUGGAGGACAAGGAUGAGGGCUUUCCACUUGAGUCUCCCUUGUGGAGCCCAGCUCCUGACAUACCUGGUGAAAGUUCUCAAGAGAAGAACAUGGAGGAGGAAUGUGGAUAACAACCCUGGCUGCCUGCAUGUUCCGAGCUAGGAAGAUGUAAUGUCCCCACAAAUGGGGUAAAUGGCUUGCCUGCGCCACAGCUCUGUCUCAAGCCCAGGCCCUGGGUGCCAGCCCGAGCCCGAGGACUAGGUCCAGAGCCACACAGCGCCAGGCCACAUCCGCCUCACCUGGGACCCUUUGUGGGGUACAGUCUCUGGCCCCACCCAGACCUGCUGAGUGAGAGACCCCAUGGCAGGACUCAGCCACCUGCAGUUUCACAAGCCCCCAGUGGGUUCCUAGGCAUGAAGACCACCCGUUAGAGGCUGAAGUGGCAGGAACCUGUCUCCAGCCCCUCCUCACCCCAGCCUGGUGCUGCCUCAGAGGCGGCACCCAGGACGUGGCCAUGACCCAUGGACUCCACUCAAUCCCUCUUCUCCAGGAGCCAUGCAAAGUGUCAGCCAGCCAGGCCCCCGGAAGGCAGUCGUCACCUCUAAGGCAUUGCAGUUGUCAGUCCUGCAGCUGCCAGGUGCCAGCACAUGGCCCAUGUCCGGUGUUCGAUAGCAGGGAGCCAUGACCUGGCAAUAAUUCCACGCUCAAAAGGGCACCCGGGGGGGCCCUGGCGUUGGGGCGGGUCAGCUUUGCCAGGCACAUCUGCCUCAUUCCAGAUCUCCAGGGCUCAUAUCUGUGACAGGGAGGGAAGGCUCUGCCCUGGCCUUCCAUCAGCUCCGCCAGUGCAGGCUGGGCAGCCUGGGCUUUAGAGCUGGCUUCUGCCCACACUUUCUCUGUGAAAGGAAAACAACGCUGAGGCUGCCAAACGCAUCUCAGAUGCGUUGUAAAAAAUUCUGAUCCCCUCUCUGUCCCAUCGUCCGCCUCGGGGACCUCCUGUCUCCUGGUUCUCACCCCACACUCUGUCACUGCCACAUUUUCACCUGGGCCUGGCCUUUGUCUCCACCUGAAACUCCUGAAAAUCUUGAAAUGGAUUUCUAGGUCCCUGGGGACUCCGGCAGCACAUUCAGCUUCAGAAUAAAGGGUGCCCGCGGUCCCCCAGCACCUGCCCAAGCUUCCCUCCGUAUCCCUGCAGCCCGAGGGUCCCUUCAGCCACCCCUAAGUCCCCACCUGGGCUCCUGCCCCGCCCCUGGCUAGCAGCACCUUCUCCACCGGGGCCCCUCUGUUCACAGAGCCCCCUCACCUCCCUGGGGAUGAGGGGCCAGACCAUGACCCUGAAGCCUAACCCUGGCCUUGACCUCCCCGGAGCGCCCUCCCCCGGCCUCGGCCCCGGCCCAGUCCUCUGCUGCUGGCCUCUGGGUCGUGCCCCGCAGACUGAGCUGCGCCUGGGGGUCCUGGCGGCCUGGGCCGUCCCGCACCGAACCCAGGUGGUCGGAGCCGGGCGGGGAUGCGUGAGGUCCUUCUGGGGGCUCCUCCGACCCAUUCUCGAGUCGCCUGAGGG